rnacentral:tRNA from 1 species
GCCUUCGUGGUGUAGUGGUUAGCACGCUCGACGCGUAACCGAGAGGUCCGUGGUUCGAGUCCCGGCGAGGGCC